UUUGAAAAUAAACAACAAAAGUGUGCUGCUUCCCUGUUUUGGUAAUUAAGCUUUGGGACAUUAAGACUGGAGUGGGGGCAGAUGAUUGGGUAGAAGGUAUUCUCUAUUCAUUUACAUUCUAGCCUACCCAA
ensembl:snoRNA